GCCCGGAGAGGUGCAUGCCUGUAAUCCCAACUACUUGGGAGGCAGAGGCAGGAGGAUCACAAGUUUGAGGCUAGCCAAAACAACUUAGAGAGACCCUGUCUCUA
rnacentral:sRNA from 1 species